AAAGGAAUAGACGGGGACCCGCACAAGCAGCGGAGCAUGUGGUUUAAUUCGAAGCAACGCGAAGAACCUUACCAGGACUUGACAUCCCUCUGACGGCACUUUAACAGGUGCGUCUCUUCGGAGCAGAGGUGACAGGUGGUGCAUGGUUGUCGUCAGCUCGUGUCGUGAGAUGUUGGGUUAAGUCCCGCAACGAGCGCAACCCUUGUCAUUAGUUGCCAGCACGUAAAGGUGGGAACUCUAAUGAGACUGCCGGGGAUAACUCGGAGGAAGGUGGGGAUGACGUCAAAUCAUCAUGCCCCUUAUGUUCUGGGCUACACACGUGCUACAAUGGUCGGUACAAAGAGAAGCGAGACCGCGAGGUGGAGCAAAACUCAAAAACCGACCCCAGUUCGGAUUGCAGGCUGAAACUCGCCUACAUGAAGUUGGAGUUGCUAGUAAUCGUGGAUCAGAAUGCCACGGUGAAUGCGUUCCCGGGUCUUGUACACACCGCCCGU
rnacentral:rRNA from 1 species